UACGUAGGGUGCGAGCGUUAAUCGGAAUUACUGGGCGUAAAGCGUGCGCAGGCGGUUCGUCGUGUCCGAUGUGAAAGCCCCGGGCUCAACCUGGGAAUGGCAUUGGAAACUGGCGGACUCGAGUGUGGCAGAGGGGGGUGGGAAUUCCGCGUGUAGCAGUGAAAUGCGUAGAGAUGCGGAGGAACACCGAUGGCGAAGGCAGCCCCCUGGGCUAACACUGACGCUCAGGCAUGAAAGCGUGGGGAGCAAACAGG
rnacentral:rRNA from 1 species